rnacentral:misc_RNA from 1 species
CCGAUUGAAUGAUUUAGUGAGGACUUCGGACUGGUCAAUCCAGACCAUUGGGAAACUAGUGGUCGGAUUGUGCUGGAAAGAUGUUCAAACUUGAUCAUUUAGAGGAAGUAAAAGUCGUAACAAGGUUUCCGUAGGUGAACCUGCGGAAGGAUCAUUAACGUAUUACCCUCUUAUUAUAAGAGAAAUACAACCUUCAAACAAUCAAACACUCUGCAUAGUGAUAUUGUAGAUGCUAAUAUGGUGAAUGCAAUUGAGUUGUAUUUGCAUUAGAGUCGCAAUUGUGAAUGUUUAAUGCAAACAUUUAGCCAUUGCAACAUGAUUCUAUUUGUGUUACAUUCAUUCAUUCAUACAUCCAUCUUUCAUUAUCCAAUGCAACAAAGAGUGAGGGUUAUCUAACGAUAGCCAUAAUUUCUUUUUGCAAAACAAUUGUAGUUUAUAAUGAAAAGCCGGUCUUGCUACAUACUUGGUACCUGUUCAAGUCUUCAGCUUAUGCUGACGGCAAGGUUUAAAGAAGGAAGUUUUAUACUUCUUCGCCUACCUAAGUAAAGACAACUAUGGUUUAUAUAAACUGCAUACAAUUGUUUUAACCCUCUCAAUGCAGAUUUAGGAUACUUAUUAAAAGUCCCACGGUGGCAAAGAUACAUCUUCAAGCGGUGGAUCACUCGAAUUACCAAUCGAUGAAGAACGUAGCUAGCUACGAUAAUCGGUGCGAAUUGCAGGACACGCCGAGCACUUGAGCUUCCAACGCACAUUGCGGCUUUCGGGUCUUUUCCGAGGUCACAUCUGUCUGAGAGUUGAGAUGUAAAAUAAUCAACAAAACACUUGCAUACUACCAUAUAUGCAUUGUUUUGAGAGGAUUGUAUAUUUAUAUACAUGAAUCUUGAUGUUUUAUUCCUUUUCUUAAUUGCGAUUCGUUGCAAUUUAGUAAGGAGAAUCUCAAAUCUACUUGUUUCACAUGAUAAAUUUUGUGUACAAUGCAUAUUUCAUCUCUGCAAGCAGUAUAUAUGAAUAGAUACUAGCAUGAGAUUCUAAGGUUAGUCGCCUAUCUGACGACGCUAAAGUCGUAUUGCAGAUAACUAUGGUGAUCAACUAACCUGUUAAAUGAUGAAUCUUCUUGCACUUGUAUAAAUCAUACAAAUAGUAGCUAUUUCAUUCUGUUAAAGCAGACCUAAGAAGUAAUGCAAAGGCAAAAUUUGUGUAAACGUUAAAGUAGAUUUACGUUGCUUGCUUGCAAACAACACAAAUAUACAUUAAUCAACUUAAUCAAUAUUUUUGAUCUCAGAUCAGGUGAGGUUACCCGCCGAAU